rnacentral:rRNA from 1 species
AGUGAACGCUGGCGGUAGGCCUAACACAUGCAAGUCGAACGGCAGCACAGUAAGAGCUUGCUCUUACGGGUGGCGAGUGGCGGACGGGUGAGGAAUACAUCGGAAUCUACUUUUUCGUGGGGGAUAACGUAGGGAAACUUACGCUAAUACCGCAUACGAUCUACGGGUGAAAGCAGGGGAUCUUCGGACCUUGCGCGAUUGAAUGAGCCGAUGUCGGAUUAGCUAGUUGGCGGGGUAAAGGCCCACCAAGGCGACGAUCCGUAGCUGGUCUGAGAGGAUGAUCGGCCACACUGGAACUGAGACACGGUCCAGACUCCUACGGGAGGCAGCAGUGGGGAAUAUUGGACAAUGGGCGCAAGCCUGAUCCAGCCAUACCGCGUGGGUGAAGAAGGCCUUCGGGUUGUAAAGCCCUUUUGUUGGGAAAGAAAAGCAGCAGGUUAAUACCCCGCUGUUCUGACGGUACCGAAAGAAUAAGCACCGGCUAACUUCGUG